rnacentral:rRNA from 1 species
UACGUAGGGUGCAAGCGUUGUCCGGAAUUAUUGGGCGUAAAGAGCUCGUAGGCGGUUUGUCGCGUCUGCUGUGAAAACGCGAGGCUCAACCUCGCGCCUGCAGUGGGUACGGGCAGACUAGAGUGUGGUAGGGGAGAUUGGAAUUCCUGGUGUAGCGGUGGAAUGCGCAGAUAUCAGGAGGAACACCGAUGGCGAAGGCAGAUCUCUGGGCCAUUACUGACGCUGAGGAGCGAAAGCGUGGGGAG